GAUGAACGCUGGCGGCGUGCCUAAUACAUGCAAGUCGAGCGAACGGACGAGAAGCUUGCUUCUCUGAUGUUAGCGGCGGACGGGUGAGUAACACGUGGAUAACCUACCUAUAAGACUGGGAUAACUUCGGGAAACCGGAGCUAAUACCGGAUAAUAUUUUGAACCGCAUGGUUCAAAAGUGAAAGACGGUCUUGCUGUCACUUAUAGAUGGAUCCGCGCUGCAUUAGCUAGUUGGUAAGGUAACGGCUUACCAAGGCAACGAUGCAUAGCCGACCUGAGAGGGUGAUCGGCCACACUGGAACUGAGACACGGUCCAGACUCCUACGGGAGGCAGCAGUAGGGAAUCUUCCGCAAUGGGCGAAAGCCUGACGGAGCAACGCCGCGUGAGUGAUGAAGGUCUUCGGAUCGUAAAACUCUGUUAUUAGGGAAGAACAUAUGUGUAAGUAACUGUGCACAUCUUGACGGUACCUAAUCAGAAAGCCACGGCUAACUACGUGCCAGCAGCCGCGGUAAUACGUAGGUGGCAAGCGUUAUCCGGAAUUAUUGGGCGUAAAGCGCGCGUAGGCGGUUUUUUAAGUCUGAUGUGAAAGCCCACGGCUCAACCGUGGAGGGUCAUUGGAAACUGGAAAACUUGAGUGCAGAAGAGGAAAGCGGAAUUCCAUGUGUAGCGGUGAAAUGCGCAGAGAUAUGGAGGAACACCAGUGGCGAAGGCGACUUUCUGGUCUGUAACUGACGCUGAUGUGCGAAAGCGUGGGGAUCAAACAGGAUUAGAUACCCUGGUAGUCCACGCCGUAAACGAUGAGUGCUAAGUGUUAGGGGGUUUCCGCCCCUUAGUGCUGCAGCUAACGCAUUAAGCACUCCGCCUGGGGAGUACGACCGCAAGGUUGAAACUCAAAGGAAUUGACGGGGACCCGCACAAGCGGUGGAGCAUGUGGUUUAAUUCGAAGCAACGCGAAGAACCUUACCAAAUCUUGACAUCCUUUGACAACUCUAGAGAUAGAGCCUUCCCCUUCGGGGGACAAAGUGACAGGUGGUGCAUGGUUGUCGUCAGCUCGUGUCGUGAGAUGUUGGGUUAAGUCCCGCAACGAGCGCAACCCUUAAGCUUAGUUGCCAUCAUUAAGUUGGGCACUCUAAGUUGACUGCCGGUGGCAAACCGGAGGAAGGUGGGGAUGACGUCAAAUCAUCAUGCCCCUUAUGAUUUGGGCUACACACGUGCUACAAUGGACAAUACAAAGGGCAGCGAAACCGCGAGGUCAAGCAAAUCCCAUAAAGUUGUUCUCAGUUCGGAUUGUAGUCUGCAACUCGACUACAUGAAGCUGGAAUCGCUAGUAAUCGUAGAUCAGCAUGCUACGGUGAAUACGUUCCCGGGUCU
rnacentral:rRNA from 1 species